AGCGAACGCUGGCGGCAGGCUUAACACAUGCAAGUCGAGCGCCCCGCAAGGGGAGGCGGCAGACGGGAGAGUAACACGUGGGAACGUACCCUUUGGUUCGGAACAACCCAGGGAAACUUGGGCUAAUACCGGAUAAGUCCGUAAGGAGAAAGAUUUAUCGCCAAUGGAUCGGCCCGCGUCUGACUAGCUAGUUGGUGAGGUAAUGGCUCACCAAGGCGACGAUCAGUAGCUGGUCUGAGAGGAUGAUCAGCCUCACUGGGACUGAGACACGGCCCAGACUCCUAC
rnacentral:rRNA from 1 species